GAUGAACGCUGGCGGCGUGCCUAAUACAUGCAAGUCGAGCGAACAGACGAGGAGCUUGCUCCUCUGACGUUAGCGGCGGACGGGUGAGUAACACGUGGAUAACCUACCUAUAAGACUGGGAUAACUUCGGGAAACCGGAGCUAAUACCGGAUAAUAUAUUGAACCGCAUGGUUCAAUAGUGAAAGACGGUUUUGCUGUCACUUAUAGAUGGAUCCGCGCCGCCUUAGCUAGUUGGUAAGGUAACGGCUUACCAAGGCGACGAUGCGUAGCCGACCUGAGAGGGUGAUCGGCCACACUGGAACUGAGACACGGUCCAGACUCCUACGGGAGGCAGCAGUAGGGAAUCUUCCGCAAUGGGCGAAAGCCUGACGGAGCAACGCCGCGUGAGUGAUGAAGGUCUUCGGAUCGUAAAACUCUGUUAUUAGGGAAGAACAAAUGUGUAAGUAACUAUGCACGUCUUGACGGUACCUAAUCAGAAAGCCACGGCUAACUACGUG
rnacentral:rRNA from 1 species